rnacentral:rRNA from 1 species
UUGGAGGGCAAGUCUGGUGCCAGCAGCCGCGGUAAUUCCAGCUCCAAUAGCGUAUAUUAAAGUUGUUGCAGUUAAAAAGCUCGUAGUUGAAUUUCGGGAUCAAUGUUUCGGUCAUGCCGUUGGUAUGUACUGAUAUUAUUGAUUUCUCACCUUCUAAAGAACCGUAAUGCCAUUAAUUUGGUGUCACGGGGAAUUAGGACUGUUACCUUGAAAAAAUUAGAGUGUUUAAAGCAGGCUCACGCUUGAAUACAUUAGCAUGGAAUAAUGAAAUAGGACAUCCGAUUCUAUUUUGUUGGUUUCUAGGAUCGAUGUAAUGAUUAAUAGGGAUAGUUGGGGGCAUUAGUAUUCAAUUGUCAGAGGUGAAAUUCUUGGAUUUAUUGAAGACUAACUACUGCGAAAGCAUUUGCCAAGGAUGUUUUCAUUAAUCCAGAACGAAAGUUAGGGGAUCGAAGACGAUCAGAUACCGUCGUAGUCUUAACCAUAAACUAUGCCGACUAGGAAUCAGACGAUGUUAAUUUUUUAAUGACUCGUUCGGCGCCUUACGGGAAAC